rnacentral:rRNA from 1 species
CCUACGGGAGGCAGCAGUGAGGAAUAUUGGUCAAUGGGCGCGAGCCUGAACCAGCCAAGUAGCGUGAAGGAUGACUGCCCUACGGGUUGUAAACUUCUUUUAUAAAGGAAUAAAGUGAGGCACGUGUGCCUUUUUGUAUGUACUUUAUGAAUAAGGAUCGGCUAACUCCGUGCCAGCAGCCGCGGUACUACGGAGGAUCCGAGCGUUAUCCGGAUUUAUUGGGUUUAAAGGGAGCGUAGAUGGGUUGUUAAGUCAGUUGUGAAAGUUUGGGGCUCAACCGGAAAAGUGCAAUUGAUACUGGCAGCCUUGAGUACAGUUGAGGUAGGCGGAAUUCGAGGUGUAGCGGUGAAAUGCGUAGAGAUCACGAAGAACUCCGAUGGCGAAGGCAGCCUACUAAACUGCCACUGACAUUGAUGCUCGAAAGUGUGGGGAUCAAACAGGAUUAGAUACCCUAGUAGUC